rnacentral:piRNA from 1 species
UGACUCUUGUCGACAUCAUCUGCUAAGAGC